rnacentral:rRNA from 1 species
AGGUCAGGCGGGACUACCCGCUGAGMUUAAAAGG